CAAAUACAAAAUUUUCAACGCGAGAAGUAGUAUGAAAAAUUGAUGUAAAGAAGAAAUUUUACAUUAAUGAAUACUGAACUGACAGCUAAUUGCUCAGGCAAUCAGUAAAGCAAUCAUUGCGCAAUGGAUUGCUACAUAUGGGUAAUUCCACGAGAAUCGCUACCACGACUGAAAACACAAAAACCCUUGAAACUUUUUUUCAAGAUGAUUUGAAUAGAAGAAAAUAAUAAAAUGUUACUAUGUGAAAGUAUUUAGAUCACAUUACAUGAUUUUAAAGACAAAAAUAAUAGUUUAAACUGAUUAUAUUUAAUUUUUUAAUGUUUUAGGUAUUUUUAGGCUAAAAUUGCAGCAAAAACUGGGCUCCCAAUUAGCUUGUAGUAUGAAAUGAAUUGGACUCUGAUUGUUUUUUUUUUGCUAUUUUCAAAUUGUUUAUUGAACCGAAUGUAUAUUUUCUAUUAAUUUUUUUAGUUUUUCUAUACAUAUAUUUACAGAACAUAUAUUGUUUUUUAUAAGAGAAAAAUCUGUCACGUACGGUAUGUCAUGUACGGUAUUAAAUUUUAUUUAUUAUAAAA